rnacentral:rRNA from 1 species
UACGGAGGGGGCUAGCGUUGUUCGGAAUUACUGGGCGUAAAGCGCACGUAGGCGGCUUUUUAAGUCAGAGGUGAAAGCCCGGGGCUCAACUCCGGAAUUGCCUUUGAAACUGGAAAGCUUGAACACGGGAGAGGUGAGUGGAAUUCCGAGUGUAGAGGUGAAAUUCGUAGAUAUUCGGAGGAACACCAGUGGCGAAGGCGGCUCACUGGACCGUUGUUGACGCUGAGGUGCGAAAGCGUGGGGAGCAAACAGG